AGAGAGCUCCUACGGGGGCAGCAGUGGGGGAUAUUGCACAAUGGGGGAAACCCUGAUGCAGCGACGCCGCGUGGGUGAAGAAGCGCCUCGGCGCGUAAAGCCCUGUCAGCAGGGAAGAAAAUGACGGUACCUGAAGAAGAAGCCCCGGCUAACUACGUGCC
rnacentral:rRNA from 1 species